rnacentral:lncRNA from 1 species
UUAUAUUUGAGAAAAAAAUACUCAUGUAACACUAAAAAAAAGUAAAUUUCUAAUAAUUCCAAAUAUUAGUGUUCAAAAGUUAUAAAAAUUUCUGAACCUUCUAUCCCAAAAUAAUGCAAAUUGAAUACUAAAAAUAAAUAAAUAAAUAAAUUACUUGAAUAUUUUUUUCUCAUUUUCUCCCUCAAACCUCUCUCUGCCUUCCCGUUUCAGCUGGGCUGCUUUCGCGAUUCGGCGCUGCAAGCUCACUCCAGCAGUUCGUUCUUCUACUUAUACUCUCAGUCGCACUUCAUCUCCUCGUUCCUCUCCAAGCCUGCUCCCCGCCGCAAUAGAUUUGAGUUGUCGCAUCAUGGUGGUGAAUAGCUUAAUCCUUCGUUGGUCUCUCUCCGUCUCUAUAUUUUUUUUCUGCUUGCUAGCUGCUUCUCUUUUAAUAGGCGGCUACCAAAGAAGAGAUCCCCCUUCGGCACGCCUCCUUUUUUUCCUUUUUAGCUCCCCCUCUUCCUCUCUUGCCGGUGCUUCUCUUUUUUU